AACGAACGCUGGCGGCGUGCUUAACACAUGCAAGUCGAACGAGAGAAACCGGAAAGCUUGCUUUUUGGUGGAUUUAGUGGCGAACGGGUGAGUAACGCGUAGGCAAUCUGCCUUAGGGUGGGGGACAACCCAGAGAAAUCUGGGCUAAUACCCCAUAAGACCACGGGUUGAAAUACCAGUGGUAAAAGUGGCGACACGCCCUUAGAUGAGCCUGCGUCCUAUCAGGUUGUUGGUAAGGUAACGGCUUACCAAGCCUAUGACGGGUAGCCGGUCUGAGAGGAUGAACGGCCACACUGGAACUGAGAUACGGUCCAGACUCCUACGGGAGGCAGCAGUGGGGAAUAUUGCGCAAUGGGCGAAAGCCUGACGCAGCGACGCCGCGUGAAGGAUGAAGGCCUUCGGGUUGUAAACUUCUUUUCUGGGGGAAGAUAAUGACGGUACCCCAGGAAUAAGCCACGGCUAACUCUGUGCCAGCAGCCGCGGUAAGACAGAGGUGGCAAGCGUUGUUCGGAUUUACUGGGCUUAAAGGGCGCGUAGGCGGCAUCAUAAGUCUGUGGUGGAAUCCUGUGGCUUAACCACAGAAUUGCCAUGGAAACUGUAGUGCUUGAGUCAGUGAGAGGAGGGCGGAAUUCCUGGUGUAGCAGUGAAAUGCGUAGAUAUCAGGAGGAAGGCCGGUGGCGAAGGCGGCCCUCCGGUGCUUGACUGACGCUGAGGCGCGAAAGCGUGGGGAGCAAACAGGAUUAGAUACCCUGGUAGUCCACGCCCUAAACGGUGGGCAUUAGGUGUGGGGCUCGCAAGGGUUCUGUGCCGUAGGGAAACCAUUAAAUGCCCCGCCUGGGGAGUACGGCCGCAAGGUUAAAACUCAAAGGAAUUGACGG
rnacentral:rRNA from 1 species